ACAAUCGCAAUCGAGAUAUGCAGUAUAAUCAUCUUGACCGAGGGAAGCCUUACAAGUUGCAGCUGUCAAAUGAGUCAAACUUUUGCACUUCACUUGAACCUUUCAUGCUCGCGGCUGUUUGCCUUGUGCAACCGCAUCAUACAGCAUACAAUUAAGGAGUGGCUCCAAUGGCGGGGCUGGAGGGAACUCGAAGGACUGGACCAAAAAUGUCACUGGAGUGUCGUGCCAACUUCCUGCUCCCACUGAGUAGGUAGGUGCAAAAGCUCGACGGGGGCAGGGAGGGAGGGAGGAUAAUUACAUUUGGUACUGUUGAAGCCGCUGAUGACUAGGGCUGACAAGCCCUAGUGUUGGUUGGGCGCGUUCCACAUGCUCACCCCUAAGCACGCCUGACACAGCAGGGGGUAUCCUGGUCAAGACAAAAGAGACACGGGGACACAAGGCUCACGCCUUCUUUACCACAACAGCCAGCAGGCUAGGGCGGGGCCUCAGAGGGACAGACACAACUGCCUCCUUCACACCACACCACACGUACACACCAGACAAAAACACAGUCCAGGGAAAACACCGCCUGCCAAGGCCAGAAACACACACAAGGCCGCCCUGCCACAAACAACACCCCUGGCCACAACAGAGGGAAAGCAAGGCGCUUAGGGCGCAUAAAGCAAGCUAACCAAGCCCCCUCAAAAGGACCAGCAGGGGCCACUCUCUGGCAGAAACCACACCCUGCAUCGCUGGCCCUGGUGAAGCCCCCCAGCCCACCCACUAACAUAAACAGAAAACGGAAAGCAGAAACCCUGACCCUCUCUAGCCCACCCUCUUGCACCUGUGGAACCGUGCUUAGUCCUUGUCAUUGUCCGUGAUGGCCUGAGCGGGUUGUUCUGCGUUCAUACCUGUGUGACAGCACAACUGGCCGUUUACUAAAUGCUGCGCACCCACUUGAUCCCAGCCCUUCCGUGGCACUCCCAGUGCUGUGAAUGCUUUUAAGCGACCGCACAAGUCGAUCACUGCCGUGUCAAUCGCUUGUUGGGUGUCUGUCUGUAUUUGAGCCUGUUGUUGCUGCUGCAGCUGCUGCGGCUGCUGCUGCGGCUGCUGCGGUAACUGGCCCUGCUGUAGAGGUUGUUGAGGCAGUGGUGUUGUGGCAGCGGUCUUGCGGUGCACAGCGCGCACCACCCCCUCUCCAUAGCCGCUAACGCCGCCAUAGCCACUACAUCCCACACUGCUUGUUACACGCCAGUCGGGGCCUAAAACAACCACACCUGCUCCCUUGAGGGCGGGGCUGCAAGCUAUGCUGCGAGCUGCUGCACAACUGCCUGAGCUACGGCGCACUGCCAAAACGCGUGUAGCCUGGGGCUGUGGGUUGGCGUCACACCGCACCCGCACGGCACCGGACCAGGUGCAUGUGUGAGGUGCGUGUUACCGGCAAUGCCAAUGCCAUUGAUUGACACCCGCCAAGCUGUCUCCUUGUGGGCGUUCUCCCAGCAUAUCCGCCAGAGCCGGUCGAGGGGGGAAUCCAGCGUUGUGUGUGUGGGGGGGCUGCUGGUGGUGUCUCGCACGCCUCAGCUGCAUAUGCCGUGUGCAAUUGACUGCGGGCUACCCCGACGUCUUCCAGCUGCACCCCUGAGCAACACAUACAGACAGCUUCUCCAGUGCCAGGAGUUGCUGCAUGCCAGGUAUCCUCCAGCCAAGGCAAGGCAUGAUCAGCCGAACCACUGCCGACUCCGAGGGCGGGGCGGGGCCCAACCCAGCCCGGAGCUGUUCCUGUACUGCACGCGUGGCUGCCAGCCAGGUCUCUGGUAUGUCUGCUGCAAGGCUGUUCAGGCCCUCGAGCGCCGGCUGCUCGUGUAGCUGCUUCUCCGGGUCAAGGUACUGCCGCACCCAUUCCUCCCAUGCCACAACCCCAGUCGCUCCCACUGGCCAUGUUGCGCGCCAUGCUGCCGCCGCUGUCAGUGCUUGCACCAGGUCACCUAUGGUGCGCAGGUGGCGACACGCCGCGAGGCGUGUAUGGUGUGUCUCAAGGCCAGGCCGUCGGUUGUGGUCACCCUCAGUCAUGAGCGGAUUGCCCCACAAUGGUGCUGCCCAGCACCAAUCACCUGGCGCUGGUGGCGGUGUCCUCACCGUUCUCACAGGCAGGAGAUGGCCCAAAGCCUCGUUGAUGCGCUGCCGGUCGCCCGGCAACUGGCAUCCCAUGGGUCGGACGUCAGGGCGGGCCGAGAGGGAGGGAGGGAGGGAGGGAGGGAGGGAGGGAAGGAGGGAGGGAGGGAGGGAGGGAGGGAGGGAGGGAGGGAGGGAGGGAGGGAGGGAGGGAGGGAGGGAGGGAGGGAGGGAGGGAGGGAGGGGGAGCCUGCCCGACCACCUGCUGCCAGGCUACUCUAGCCCCUUAGCCAUACUUCAUCCCCCGCCCACCACCACCUUCUAAGUACCCCCUGAAACCCCUGACAACCUGCCUUGCCGCCUGCCUGUGUUUGCCGCGUACCCGCCCCACGCUUGCCCCCGUCUGACUGUCCCUGCAUCUGGGCGCCUGCGGGGCAUCCAGGCUGGCAGUGCUUGUGAGGAGCGGCACGCGGUCCGCACACUGCCCGCCCCCAUCCUCUUUCGACUCACCACCGCCAUGCCGUGUGCCCCUUGCCCUGAACCCCUGCCUUGCGCCCACUCUGCCUCUUUCGCCGCCUGGGCUUGUGUGCAGUCUUGUCUGUGUUGUCCCUUCUCUAUCCGCCAACGCGCCUCGGCCCUUUCACUGUGCCGUGCCCUUUCGGAUUUUGCCUUUCCCCUUUAUCACAUGUCGCGCUUCUGGCCUGACGCUCCCUGCCUGGCAUCAGGGUUGCUUUCCUGGUCGCCAGGUAAGUCGUGGGCUUUGUUUGUCCUCUCCGCGUGCCUGUUCUGUGCUUUUGUGCGCGCCACCGGGCCCGGGUGGUGACAUUCUCCUCCUCGGAACUUACAGUACAAGAGGCAGGCAUAAGCCCUGUCCUGACCCUGACCGGCACUCAACUCCCGGUCGGCUUAUGCCCAGUGUAUCCAUCCUUGUCCCAAUCGUCUCGUUACAAUUCCCCGCUACCUCAACCGAAACGACCGACGAUUACCUCCAAAACCCCGAUGUUUAUGUUGCAUUAGUGGCCGGCAAUACUCUUUAAACAUACUGGACCACACCAGUGGCCAGCAAUACACCUCAAACAUACCAAGCCACACCAGUGGCCGGCAAUGCACCGCAACCGGACAACGAUGCUCCCGGCGUUGGCAGUGGCCGGCCGGCGCCGGCGUGAUGGCCGGCGGCCCGGCCGGGCUAGGGCGCCGGCGUGGCACGCGCGCGCGAGCGCAUGGUCACGGAUGGCAGCGCGCUGGACUGUGGCGCGCCACGGCCGCGACCGCUCGGCGGCGGGACAGGCACUGCGACGGGCGCGGCACGCUGGGCCUUGAACCGCGGCCGCGGUGGGCACUGCCGCCCCGCCCGCGGCCGGCGCCCGUGCUGGAGAGGGCGCCGGGGGCGCUGCCGCUGGGCGCGGCGGGGCGGGCGCGGCCCGUGGCUGACGGCGGGGGCCUGGGCAUAAGGAAGGCGGGCGGGCUCUUUAGGAAUAGGAGUCUCUGCGGUAAAGCAGAGGAUAAGGAAGUAUUAAUCGGCGGAUAGCCGUGCAGCGCAGAGCGCUGCCCUACAAUACUUCGGCAAUGACAGUUGCCGUACUUCUCGUUCCAUCGUCGGAGAACUCUAUUUCUCAAGGCGAGAAACGCUACUAUUGUCGCCGGCGCAGCUCGCCCUGCUGCUCCACGACGCCUCGGCCCCCUCCCAUAAGUGUUACUGCCUGCAACUGACGCCUCUGCCUCCGCUAGUUUAAGUUGGUAUCGUUUAGUUGGUUUCGUUGGUUGGUCGUGGGCUGGUAUUUCCAAACCCUACCGCCCCCUACGCCUUCAAAGCGGCGCCGGCGCGCAGGUUGAGACCUGCCGGUGUUGUCUGGUUAGCGACCUGUGCUGACGAGCAUGGCGUAGCAGGCAGUCGGCUGCAGCGGCAGGGGUGUUUUCCUUGCUGUCUGGUUGGCCUGCUGCCUGCUGCACUAGCUGGGCGCGACUGGGCACAUAUGGCGGGCGGUGCCUGUACAAACCGACCCCGGCUAUGUCCGGGAGAUGAGGUUGUUCGGCCUCAGAGAGUGGAGGGGCUCAGCCCCUUUUCCCGUGACCGGGGAACACUUGUCUUGUCAAACCCUAAAACGUAUAUGUCUCGCCAGGCCACCCUUGGAUUGAGCGAAGAGCAGACGGAAGUAUGAAGCUGAACAGACCACGAAGUGUCAUAAUGGAAGAGGAGGUGGAGUGAUGGCACCUAGUAACAUAUUCGGUAUGGCGGGAGGAGCGUCCUAUGGGAGCAAGCCUACUAGAGCUAGAGUAGGCCGACGGCGCUGCAGGCGGCACGCCCCUGGGGUCCAGAGCAGGGUGUUCGUUCUCCACGUCACUGGCUUGUGAACUGCGUCAGCAGGUCCCUCUUGAAACAAUGCAAUCUUGGGAGGGUGUGGUGGCUGUGGCGCACGCAUACCGGGGGAUGAGGCAUCGUGGAGUGCGUGCAUAAGGGGAGGGGGCAUUGAUUCAAUUGUUGCUGUGUUUCACGGUAUGUUGUGUUGGACCGGGGCGGCCAGUGCAGCGCGGCUGGUGGUCGGGUGUUCACUGCCGCACGCAUGCGAGGGUCGGGGUUGUAGGCAGCGCACCACGCCGGCAACUUACUCAUUUUACCAGCGCUCGUAUCUUCCUUCGUUCGGAACGAAAUUUGCCAGGAAAGGCCUCUGGCGGAAGGAAUUUUUGGGCUGAGCCCCCUGAGGGUGCGAUCCAGGGGGGGCGAAGCCCCCCAGGAUUGCCCCUGUCUUGCGUCUGCAAAAAGUACCAUACUGGAACAAACCGCGGCCUGCAGCCCUGCGACCUGCUGGCGGCGGUGGCGGUGCAGGGCCUGGCGGCGGCGGUGGCGGCGGGGGUGGCACCGCGCCUACCGGCGGCAACGGCAGCGGCCACGGCGUUGGGCCCGGUGGUGGCGGCGGCACGGGCGGCCCUGGGCCCAGCGGCAGUGGCGGCGCGCAUGUUCGGAGCAGAGGGGGCGGGCAAGGCCACGUGGAGGAGGACGCCGCAGCGCCGCCUUCAAAGCGGCGCCGGCGCGCAGGUUGAGACCUGCCGGUGUUGUCUGGUUAGCGACCUGUGCUGACGAGCAUGGCGUAGCGGGCAGUCGGCUGCAGCGGCAGGGGUGUUGAGAGGUGGAGGUUUUCCUUGCUGCCUGCUGCCUGCCGCACUAGUGCUUGAUAGCUGAGCGCGACUGGGCACAUAUGGCGGGCGGUGCCUGCACAAACCGACCCCGGCUAUGUCCGGGAGAUGAGGCUAGUAUCGGAACCUUCGACCUCAGACGGAGGACGUGGCGGGGGCUCAGCCCACUUUUCCCUUGCGAGGGAAAGCCUGGUUUGGCUAUGUGCCUGUGGAAACCGACCCCUGCUAUGUCCGGGCAAUGAGGUUGUUCGGCCUCAGACUGCGGAGGGGCUCAGCCCCUUUUCCCAUGACCGGGGAACACUUGUCUUGUCAAACCCUAAAACGUAUAUAUAGGCAUUUGGGGCCCCUGGAUGCCGUGGGCGACAAUGUGAUCAGGCACGUAAUCAGGGCCCUUCUCGCCAGCGGCGGCACCCUACCCCUGGAACCCCCGCCUGGAAGAUGCAAGCCUUGUGGGAUCGUGGCCGCAGAUGCAGGCGUUGUAGGCAGUGCACCACGGCGGGAACUUUGGGGACAUUGGAGCUAUUUUGCAGGCGGCAAGGCACGCAACCCAUGUCGCAUGCCUGCCAUGCAUUGGAUGGGCAUUGCGGGCAGGCCUCCAGCACUGCAGGGAAGCCUCCAGCAACGGGGUGGCCGUAGAGCAGCUCUGUUGGGAUUCCCGCCUGGUGCUGUUCAGCAGCUUAAACUGCGCCCACCCCCCUCCAAUUUCAUUGGGCUCGGGCAUGUACCUGGUGUACCCCCUACCCGGGCGCAUACGGUACCGUACACCCCCAGAGCCACCAAAGUGAUUACAGUGCCCUCCACGGGUGCGACAUGCCCUCACUGUAUAAGGGCGAUCCGUGGCUCUCGCCAACGCGGCGUCCCCACACGCUGAAACGAUGUGUUAAGUUUGCUCCUAGAUUAGAGACGACCACUCAGGACGGUGUAUUGGGGCUCGCGCUGUGAUGUGGUCAACCCAUCUAGCUCCCUAUGUCAACGGACCUAGGCCGGACGGCUGGGGAAGACAGCAUCAACCUGUCCUCCAAACUCUGUACACACAACAUGACUUGCGCCGCCUCUUCAUCACCUCUUGCACCUCCCGCCAGAGCACCUCCUGCGGUGUGCCCCGCCCAUGUGCCUGCCCCGCCCAUGUGCCUGCCACUGCUCUCGCCGCGCCCUCUGCCACUGCUGGACCCUGGCAUCGCUGCUCACACGCGGCACGUGCUAUACACAUCAUAGUUGUAGACUCUACACUGGUGCGGUAUGUCAACCACCACCACAAACAAAGGCCCACCGGGGCCGCUUUUGCGGACGUGACACGAUCCCAAGCCUCCCUCACGACGCCUGGCCACCUAUCUAUCCUUCCCGCGCUCAUUCCCGUAUGCAUUGUCCAGUAAGCCACCUUCACCUUACGAGACUCCCACAUGUGUAGACAGCCUGUUCCAACACGUCCCCGCCAUGUGCACCACCAACACACAACUGCCGGGUGGGUAUGCAUCCAUCCUUGUAUCUGCCCUUUACGCACCCUGCGCCUCAAUUGCCCCCUGCUCGCCCACGGCCUCAGGCAGCCCCGGCUCCCCCGCCGCCGCCCGCCGCGCCGCCCACAGAGCCCGCACACUGGGCCACGACUCGCAGCAGCGCUUCCAGCCGAAUGCCUCCGUCGUGUUGGCCCCCACAUUCGCGUAAGGCGGUCGGGGGGCAGCAGGGGCAGGCUCCGGCCCCGCCUCCGCAGCAGCGGCGGCCGUGGGCACUUCGCUGCCACUGGGACCCGGCUCAGCAGGAUCCGUUGAGGUGCCUGCCGCGGCACCUGCGCUCCCAUACACGCCUGUUGCUGCUGUGGGCGCCGUCGCCUGAGCCUUGCGUGCCGCCUCCGCCUUGCCCCGCACCUGCAGCAGGUCCGGACCGCAGGCACAGGGCAUAACCCCCCAGAACUCUGGACUUGGCAAGACAAAGUCAGUAUCACAUGCAGACCCAGUUGCGUGUCAGUUGCCUGCCUCCAGCCGCCCCCACACCUGCACGGACAGCUUGCGGCAGGUGGCGGGUCCCAUGAGCUCGCGCGCAAAGGCCAGCAGCUCGAUGGCGCUCAGCGAGCGAAGCGCCGCCACCUCAGCCUCCUGCGUGGCGGGUGGAGUGGUGUGAGCCAGUGUGAGAUGAUGUGCAAUAUCGUGAUCACAAUCAGCAUCUUGUAUAUGGUUCUGAGCGUGUGCGCCCUCAUAUCAACAUGCAUGAGGAGCAAGCACCACUCAAGUUACCUUGCGGCAAGUCAAGUAAUGAAUGCUAGCAGCCACUUCUGCCUAUAGCAACGAAUGGGCACGCCCGCAUACAACCGUCCCCGACCCAUACCCGCAUGGACGCAGGCAAUAGCCACGCGCGACAGGCGUAACGCGCACCUGGCGGUCAAAUACAUAGGUGCCGUGUUGAAUUUCGGACCACCAGCGGUUGGCCAGGUCACCUGACAGCGUAUCAAGGGAAGGGGCGCGGGUGGGGGCGUGUGGCGCACGCAGCGAAUCCAAAAGUACACCGGGGAAGGCACUGGGUUAGCACAUGAAGGGUCCCAUUCGACGCGGGGGGGAGGGUCAUGUGCUGAUGUGCCUGCCCCACGUCGGCACCACCAAGCCCGCCGGCCACGGCAAAUAAGGCCCGAUGCCGACAACACCUUUGGGUAACCCCCUCUCCCCCUGGGCCGCCAGCCUGGCCAGGUACCCUGCAACACCCCUGCCUGCCUCUCUCGACCCAUCUUUUCCGCUUCAUACAUGAGCUCUGACCCAUGCAAGCCAACGCAUGCCUGGCCAAGCCAGCUGGAGGGCCUUGCUUUGGCCUCUGCCCACCCCAGCCUCCCACCCCUAAUGCAUCCCGUCUUUCACGGAACGCUUACCCCCUCCCACCCCACCCCAGCUCCGCUCACCCAGCUUCUUGGGCUUCUCCAGUUUGGCCUUUGCCAGCUCC
rnacentral:lncRNA from 1 species